rnacentral:SRP_RNA from 1 species
GCUGGGCACAGUGGUACACACUUGUAGUCCCACUUACUUGAGAGACUGAGGUGGGAGGAUCACUUGAGCCCAGAAGUUCCAGGCAAUCUUGCACUAUGUCAAUCAGGUGUCUGCACUAAGUAUAGCAUAAAUAUAGUGACCUCCUGGGAAUAGGGGACCAUCAUGUUGCCUAAGAAGAGGCAAAAUGACCGACCCUAGUCAGAAACAGAGCAGAUCGAAAUGCCCAUGCUGAUUAGCAGUGGGGCUGUACCUGUGAAUAGCCACUGCACUCUAGCUUGGGCAACAUAGCAAGACCUCAUCUCU